rnacentral:rRNA from 1 species
GACGAACGCUGGCGGCGUGCUUAACACAUGCAAGUCGAACGGAAAGGCCCUGCUUUUGUGGGGUGCUCGAGUGGCGAACGGGUGAGUAACACGUGAGUAACCUGCCCUUGACUUUGGGAUAACUUCAGGAAACUGGGGCUAAUACCGGAUAGGAGCUCACGCUGCAUGGUGGGGGUUGGAAAGUUUCGGCGGUUGGGGAUGGACUCGCGGCUUAUCAGCUUGUUGGUGGGGUAGUGGCUUACCAAGGCUUUGACGGGUAGCCGGCCUGAGAGGGUGACCGGCCACAUUGGGACUGAGAUACGGCCCAGACUCCUACGGGAGGCAGCAGUGGGGAAUAUUGCACAAUGGGCGGAAGCCUGAUGCAGCAACGCCGCGUGCGGGAUGACGGCCUUCGGGUUGUAAACCGCUUUCGCUUGUGACGAAGCGUGAGUGACGGUAAUGGGUAAAGAAGCACCGGCUAACUACGUG